AUGAACGCUAGGCGGCAGGCUUAAUACAUGCAAGUCGAGGGGCCAGCCGAGGUUAGCAAUAACUGUCGGCGACCGGCGUACGGGUUGAGUAAACACGUACUCAAUCUACCUUUUUACUGGAACAUAGCCCCGGGAAAACCGGGAUAUUAAUUUUCCAUAAUAAUAUGAAGAGGGCAUCUCUUUAUAUUUAAUAAGCUCCCGGCGGUAAAGAGAUGAGGGUGCGUCCCAUUAGCUAGUUUGGUAGGGGGUAACGGCCUACCAAGGCGACGAUGGGUAACUGGCGUGAAGAGCGCGACCAGUCACAUGGGCACUGAAGACACGGGCCCGACUCCUACGGGAGGCAGCAGUAGGGGAAUAUUGGGCAAUGGAGGCAACUCUGACCCAGCCAUGCCGCGUGCAGGAUGAAGGCCCCUCUGGUGUUUGUAAACUGCUUUUUAUUCAGGGAAGAAGAAGAAGAAACAACAGGAUUCAUCUUGUUCUGACGGUACCUGAGGAAAAAUAAGCACCGGCUAACCUCCGUGCCAGCAGCCGCGGUAUAAUACGGAGGGGUGCAAAGCGUUAUCCGGAUUUACUGGGUUUUUUAUAAAGGGUGCGUAGGCGGGGUUUGUUAAGUCAGUGGUGAAAGAUUUGAGCUCAACUCAAAAACUGCCAUUGAUACUGACGAAUCUUGAAUAUAGUUGAGGGUGGGCGGAAAUGUGUCAUGUAGCGGUGAAAAUGCUUAGAUAUGACACAGAACACCGAUUUGCGAAGGCAGCUUGCUAAACUAUUAUUGACGCUGAGGCACGGAAAGCGUGGGGGAGCGAACAGGAUUAGAUACCCUGGUAGUCCACGCCCUCUAAACGAUGAAAUACUCGACAUUUGCGAUAUAAUACUGUAAGUGUCCAAGCGGAAAAAAGCGUUAGUAAGUAUUCCACCUGGGGGAGUACGUUCGCAAGGAAGAAUGAAAACUCAAAGGAAUUGACGGGGUGUCCGCACAAGCGGUGGGAGCAUGUGGUUUAAUUCGAUAUGAUACGCGAGGAACCUUACCUGGGCUAGAAUGCAUUAUGACAGCCGCGGAAGGAAACGUGGUCUUUCCUUCGGGACAUUUUGCAAGGUGCUGCAUGGCUGUCGUCAGCUCGUGCCCGUGAGGGUGGUUGUGGGUUUAAGUCCCGCAACGGAAGCGCAACCCCUAUCAUUAGUUUGCCAUCAGGUUAAGCUGGGGACUCUAAUGAAACUGCCCGCGCAAGCGGUGAGGAAGGAGGGGGAUGACGUCAAGUCAUCAUGGCCUCUUUAUGCCCAGGGCUACACACGUGCUACAAUGGCCUGUACAAAGGGGUUGCUACCUAGCGAUAUAGGACGCCAAUCCCAAAAAAAAGCAGGGUCUCAGUUCGGAAUUGCAGGCUGCAACUCGCCUGCAAUGAAGCUGGAAAUCGCUAGUAAAUCGCGCAUCAGCAAUGGCGCGGUGAAUACGUUCCCGGACCUUGUACACACCGCCCGUCAAGCCAUGGGAGUUGGGUGUACCUGAAGACGAUAACCGCAAGGAGUUGUCCAAGGUAAAACCAGUAAACUGGGGCU
rnacentral:rRNA from 1 species